rnacentral:lncRNA from 1 species
GCGGGCCGGGGAGGCGGGGAGCCUGCGGGUCGGCGCGCCAGCCUGGCUGUGCGUGCUCACGUGACAGUUCCGCGAGGCCCAGCUCGCGCAGUCGUCCGAGCGAGCGAAGAUGGCGGCCGAGAGGGAGCCUCCUCCGCUGGGGGACGGGAAACCCACCGACUUUGAGGAACUGGAGGACGGAGAAGACUUGUUCACCAGCACUGUCUCCACGCUAGAGGUCAGACUGCAUCUCCGUGGGUUCCGUGCUGCGCUGCUCCCCGCGUCUCUCCUUUUAGAUGCCGUUACCCUAACCCAGCUUGUCCCUUCCCACCCCCAGGGCUAGCAAGACCAGGUGGGUGACACCUGUGACGGACCCCACCUCAGGUACCUGUCAGUAGGUUGGGUAAUGGCCUGGGCGGUAAGGCCUCCUCAGGAGAGCAGCUUGCGGGCCUUGGGGACCGACCUAAUUCUCUAAGGGGCUGGCAGCGUCCGGAC